UUUCUCUCUAUCUCUCUCAUAAAUUCGUGAAAUUACUGAUGAAUAUUUUUACAACUUUUGUCAACGUCGGAAGACGUCGUUAACCAGAUUCAAGGCGUUUCAAUUUCAACGUUUAACAUCAAUCCCAAGGGAAAUUAAAUUGAUUGACUUCAAUUGAAAUUUAAUUGAAUGCUAGCGUAGAUCAAAUUUCAUUUGCAAAAUUGCGAUUGCAAUUAAGUUUCCUUCUUCGAAUCAUUCAUUUGUUGUAUAAAACAGAAAGAAAUAUUCACAUACGCAUAUGAGACAUAAGUAUUUCAACAUGGAUCAGGCCUCGAAAAAAAAUCAUUUCUAUAAAAUAGCAAAUAGUGUAGGAAUCUAUGAGAUGUACAAUUGCGUUUAAAAAGUCGAAAUAUCAUGUUUGGUUGGUGCAGUAUCAUCGACGGUCGAUCCGGACGACCGUGAAAACGCUGACGCAGCUGCGGCCGAUCUUACCGCGGGCUUCGAUCUCGAUCCGCCCUCGGCAAGAGGCUCGACCUGCAUCGCCAUUUUUAGUCACGAUCGAAAGAAAGAGAGAAAGAGAGAGAGGGAGAAAGAGAGAAAAGCGACCUCUCAUCCUCUCAUCCUCUCCCUUCUCUUCUUCGUCGCCGUCGUCGUCCUCCUCUUCCUCCUCCUCUUUAUACGAACGCUACUUCUGCAGCCAAGGCCAUUUUAAUAGCGCAGCGCAUUUAUCAUUUGGGCGAAAACAACGUCGAUCGAGGCUAGCGAUAGGAACGAAUUGCCAUGUCGAUUCAACCGCUAACUUAAUUCUGAAACUAACAGCAAGGUAAAAAAGAAAGAAGAAUUAGGCGAGGAAGAGGAAACGUGGUAGUGUCGCGUGACACGAAAAAGUCGAUGCCCCCAUGGUUGUUGGUCGGGCAAGAAGCCGGAGGCUUGAGCGUGGCUAGAUUCACCCAGAGAUCGUUGCUAUCGCAGAGUCGUCUCGUUAUCCGACACCGCGAGUACACACGCCGGGGCACCGACUUCUAGCUUUACCUUCGACGACGACACUGUUGCUAAGGGAAUCCGAUUACGUCUCUUCUUCUUGCAAUUACAAUCGAUCUAAUCUACUAGCUUCCAACCAUUUUUCUGACACGCUUCUAUUCCAAACAAAGGCUAUGAUGUCUUAAUAACAACAACGCUUUAAUUAAUUAGAAAUAAAUUGUAUAUGAGAAUCCAAGAGGGAGAGGAACAGAAGAAGAAAAAAUAGAAAAAGAGAGGAACGUUUGACAUUAAUUUAUACGACACAACCGAGUAGAUCCACACAGACAAUAAUCGAUUUAUUCGAAUCACGCGUUGCGGAAUCAAUCGGCGGUGAUGGCGUGUGGACUAAAUUGAUUUUCUCGUUCCAUGUUGAAAGAGUGUCUUCCUCUUUUGGUCCAGCACCAGCACCAUCAUCAGUACCCGUCCCUCUUCCUUCCCCUCGUCAUACGGCUUUCGACUAGAAAGCACAAAAAGGAAAAAGAAUAAAAACAAGAAGAAGAAAAAGAUGAC
rnacentral:lncRNA from 1 species